UAUUAUUGUGCUGUUAUCAUUAGUAUGAAAUAUAUGCUAUGAACAGCUAUUAUUAUAUAUCUAUUAUUAAAAUAAAUUCCCAGAAACGUUAACAGUGGUGAAACGGGAUUUUGCAGCAUUUCUUGUAAUUCAUACUUUCUUGUGUAACAGGAUGGUAUCAGGAGUACUAAAUAUAACUUUUCUACAGUUUGAUCUGUGGAAUACAUAUAAGUAGAAAUACUUUGGUGCAGAUUAGGUGGAACAGAAUGGAAAAAUAGUUUGAUUUAAUUGUAAAUGCAUUUUGUUGUUGUUUUGAAGUUUAUGCUCAAUUAAUGAGAGUCUUUUACUUUUUAGGAAUCUAGUACUUUGGGGGAGAAGAGUCUCAGUCCUGUGAGGCUGUACUUGAAAAAUCUUCUGUUUCAGUUUGCAGGUGUACUCAUAUGCAUGCCUUAAUUAUGGAAUUUUCAUGUGUGUUGUAAGUGGAAGUUUUCUUACUUGGUACCUUUAUGGAGGAAAUAGGUCCAUGAAGCAUUCUGGAAUAUUCUCCUGCCCACUCCCCCCCCCUUUUUUUUUCCCCCCUUUUCUCUUUUUCAAUCGAAUUUUUAUGGAAUUACCUUUUGUUUUUUUUUACAACAUUGAUAUUGAUAGAAAAAACUAUAUUAAAUACUAAUUAUUUUUCCAAAACUGAUUUAAACUUCAUGUUUUGAAACAUAAUCCUUACAACAGCAGCAAUUGUAUUGUACUGUGAGCCACUAGAGAGAGAAGAAUUAGCUUUCUGUUUUUAUUGAUAGGCCACUAAUUGCUCUGUUUACAUUCUACAUUUGGCAAGUCUAGUUCCCUUCUAUGAUGCCUUUAGGUUUUGUUACUAUGAGAGAAAUCUAGCAGCACAAUAUUUGGAAUGUUUUUUGUGUGAGGAAAAAUGUUGCAUUAGUAAUCCCAUUCCUUGUUUGUCAGGAAAAUAAUUAAUAUUAAUAAUUGAAUAUGCGUCAUGAAAAAUAGCGGCAAAACAGUGUCCUGAAGUUUAAAUCAGUAGGACUUCAGAAAUUUGUUCUUUGCUUCUGUGCUAACAAAGUUUUUAUUUGUAUUACUGUGCUUUUCUGAAGAAAACCAAGAUGACUGAUGAAAGGGUUAGUACUAUACUCCUUUAUAUGUUUGUUUGUUUGUUUGUUUGUUUGUUUCGAGGUAUAGUGAAGUUAAAAUUAACCUAAUAAAGCAUAGGGUGAUUGAAGGUAGUCUUUGCCUUGUCAGGUCCUCUAGUGUAAGACCAUCACAAUGGUUCUAAUUUUGGAAUGUAUCUGGCAGAGCAAUAAUGAAAGGAAAACGGUGCCACCACAGCCUAGACCCUAAAACCUUACAAUCUGUGAUGACUCCUCAACACUACACUCAUGUAAAUACAAUUUAAAUCAACCACUAGAAUCUGGACAUUUGUCAAGAAGUUAGACCGUCCUUUGCCUGUUAAAGAAGUGAGUCCCCUUUGCUAUUCUCAAAGCUGAAAUAGAAGGGAGCUCUUUAUCCCACCAAGAGGUAACAUGAAGUUUUGGCAUUUGCUGUUUAAGUUCUUCAAAGUAAAUUUCAGCUUAUCCCUUUGAAUCCACUGGAACAAAGAUUUGCGUAGAACUUUUGUAGUCAAGACAAUGUUCUUUCAUUUCAACUUGAAGUCCUUUAUUGGUAGGCAGUUCUGAAAUGGCUUUUUCAUAGGUGAAUUGUGAACUGAUGUCAACUGAUUUCAUAGAACUUUUGAUUUAUCCACGGGUACUUUCUUACCUUUAGAGGAAAAAAAAUCCUGAGGAACUGAAACUGAAUCUAUGUAGCAGGACAUAAUUUCUGAAGCAAGGUCACUACAGAGCUAGUUCUGGGCAAAAUUUACAACUUCUCUGUAAAUGUGAAGAAUCCACAUAAACCUCCUAUAGAUAUGUUUGUUUUAACAACAAUAACCUGAACAUCUUAAAUUUUAUUUUUUAUUGGAAGGAAUGCUAAAGAAAUUAAACAAAUAUAGUUCCUGCCUGCCAAAUUAAAUGGUGCUUUUCAGACAGAAACAGGGAGGGCAUAACCUUUAUUUUCCUUCAAAAUUUCCUCAGCCAUGUGGUCAAAAUAAAACAGGACUAGCGUAAUAAUAAAGCAAGGGCUUUUUGUAGCUUUUAGUGGUGCGGCUUGAUGAUUCAUGAAGAUUUACGUUUCAGUACCUGAAAGUGGGCUGAUGGCUCUACAGAGAAUAGAGGAAUACAUAUUUUCUCCAGACCUGCUGUGGCUGACACAAUUAUGACACACUAAAGGAAGGUGAUAUGCUAUUCAGUAUCACCUUUAGUCCUCCUGCUAGGGCCUGUAAACUGUGGUUAGUCAGCAACUUUCUCAGCAAAAGUCUUCAAAAAGAAUGGGAAUGGAGGGGAACAGGAGGCUUCCUGGACAAGCUGAUGUUACCAUGUUGACCAGCGAAAACAAGGAUGGUGAAUGAUUGACCCAACUAUUAACAAGCUUGCAUGAGCUUGAGGAGGCCACGGUCAGUAGAUAUUUGCUUUUGAUAAAAUAUUUAAGGAUUUUGGCUUGUUUCUAUAUAGAGAUUAGGAAAAAGGAAAAGUAAAGAAAAGGGAAAAAAAAAAAAGAAAAAGAUCUGUGACCUAGCACGAGUGUUUUCUCUCUUAGUCUUUCUUUUCAAUGACAGUGAUGUCAGAGCAAACAUGUUCUUCCCAUACACGGACUAGUUAUUUUUUAGUAAGACUGAUUUGGAGCAGCAUGCAAAUUCCACCAAGUGAUGGAAAACAUUAUGUUUUUUUUAUCCAUAAUCAUGUUUCAGAAGCAUUUAAAGGCCUCCAAUGAAAUCAAGAUUGUCCUAUAUGUAAACACUCUAAAACCACAUUAUUGUGAGUCAAACCUUGCCCUCAAGAAGUGCUGGCAGAGCCUCAGGUCUCAUGUGUCCCAGUGCAGUGUCCUAGCAAGGCUGCAUCUAAUUACAAUGUACACAAGCAGUAUUACUCUCAAUUAAACUUAAUUAGAGUUAGCAUAAUUCACAGAAUUCAAAAGAGGUUGGAUUCUCACUUUAUAAAAGCAGGCAAGACAAUGGGCAUUUUUUUUUUUUUUAAACUUUACCAGGAAUAGAAUGACCUUAAUUCUCAGCCAAGAACAUUCCAAGUGAGCUAACAGCAGGAAACACAUCCACUGUUGAGAUCAUCUCUGCAAUCAGAUAACAAUUUGUUUCCAUUUGUGAAAGUCAUCCAUCCUCAUUUAAAGACAAUAUUAGUGUACAGUAUGUUCACAGCAUCUUUUAAUAUCCCAGUGUGAAGGACAAGAAAAGAAUUUCAAGAACCAGGACAUACCUGCUUUAAAAAAUGUUAUAAAAUGAUGCAAUACUGUUUUUGCAAAAUAAUGACAUCAUGAAAUGUCACAGAAUUUGUAGAUGUUAUUCUAACUUUAAAAUCUAACUUUGAGUUUCUUCCGCUUUUCCCCACAACUUAACUCCAUAUUUUUGCCAACUAUAGGGCUGCAUGCAGUUCAACCCCGUUAUGCAUUUGGAAUCAGAAAUCAUUGUUCAGGAAAUCAAUCAAGACAUUAUCAAACUGCCCAGAAUUGUCAUGUGUAAUUAAUUGGAAAUCAGAGAAACUGCAUUCAAAAACAAUUCAGGAUACCUGUGCAAAAGAAGCAGUACUGCUCUUCUGGUAAAUUUUAAUUUUGAUACAUUCCAUCACGCAGUCUCUUCAGAUUAUGUAGACUGGGGUCAAGCAUAUAAUGAGUGCUAAGGGAGGCAACAUUUUCUGCACAGCACCACCUUAAAGCAUGUAUGAAAGUGUGCCUUUAGCUUAAACUGCUCAAGGAGGUGGCUGUGCUAUGGUAGCUGGCUGUGAACUGGAGUGACAGAAGUGUAAGUGUAUUCCUCUCUGUCUUUGCAUGGCCAAGUGAGGCAAUUUCUUUAACUGCUUCUCCUACAUAUGCCCAUGGAUGCUUCUCAGAUCAUGUGGAUAGAUGGAAAUAAGAAAAAAACUGUUACGGUCUCACUAAUUUGUAUGAAAUGCUUUUCAAGAUAAUUACUUGUAAUUUUUUGAAGAUCAGUCACAGAAAGUCUGGAGAAAAAUGAGAAGAGGUAACAGAAGAUAUAACAAAUCAGAGGUUGUGCUACAGAUGGUUUUCCUGUUUUCCAGGAUUCUGAACAGAACAGGAAGGCUCUACUGUUAGUAACUCUGAGCUCUUUCAAAUAAUGGAUAUAUCAGAAGACUGAAAGAAAGAGAAAUUAGGCAAAAAAAUACAAUUUCAGACUUAACAGGUCAUCAUGAUAACAGUGACUUGACACAAAGAAGGCUCUUUUUCCCAUUCUUUUAAAUCUCUUUGACUUGCUGAAUAUAAAGAUAUUUCUUAAAGGGAGGAAGCAACAGCCUUUUUUUGGUUGAUACUGCUGAAGAAGAGGUGAGCUGCUAGGUCCCAAAAGACUUAACAGAUCAAAGACGAUUUCAGUGCCAGUUGUGGAAAAAGGAUUUGGAGGAUGCUGGCCAGUCUGUUCUUAAUGUGAAUUGAGGGAGAAACAUGCUUGGCUUUUAAGGGACUUAAAGCUAGACAGGCCAUAUGCCUUUUUGAGUAGUUUUUAUUUUCUUAAAAAUCAACCUUUCUUAAUCUCCUAAUUGAAUAAUUAGACUUUUAUUAUUUUUUUCUAACUUUAUUGUUGUAGGUCUAAUUCUGAGUUUACAAUGACAGCAAUUUUGGAGUAAUUCUACCACGGUAAAAGCAACUGUACCAGUGCAGAAACACUUGCAGAGAGUUGAUAAUCAUUAUGUUUAAUUGCCUAUUCAUUUUCUUUCUGCGGCUCUAUGCCUGUCUCUACCACUCUGUUUUUUUUGAGAGAACAUCUUUGCCUCACGUUAAUGUGGAUAUUGAUUAGCUUUUAGGUACCACCGAGUGUGUUUUAGGGCUCAAGUAACUAUUCUGUCAAAGUGUGCCAGGUAGAAGUUGCUACAUGGCCACAAAUUGUUUGUAGUAUUUAUCAAAGGAACCUCAGUAAAACUCAUUUUACAUUAAUAAUAUUGUACAAUAAUGAAAUGACUGACCAUAUUCCCAUGAGCUUUUCUGUGAUGAACUUUGUUCUACAUAUGGAAAUCUCUUUUAGUGAAGUUCCAACUUUUGUCCUAUCAUGACUUUUGUGCUUUCAAAGUCUUGUAUUUGCAGGUACUGAACUUAUUUCUACAAGGCAGUGUACAGGCCUGAUGAUUAAUUAGAGAAUUAGUGACUGAAUGUUAACAAAGGCUACCACUCCUGCUAUCUCAACUUUCUUAAUUUUAAAAGUUACAGAAAGAAAUAUGUGUGUCCAGGCUAUAAAGUGUAUACAUGUAGUCAAACUGCACAUGAUCCAUUUUCAGUUGUUUUCACACUCUAUUUUUGCCUCUGGCUGCUCACUGCAAUAUCCUUCUUUUCUCUGCAUUCCUUUAGACAUUCAGUUCUGAUGUUUCAAGCUUGAAGUUUCUCAUUGUGUGAGUAAAACUGACUAGGCACAUGAGUAUUUCUAGUCUUGGGGCAUUCUUAUGUUUAUCCUCAUGGGUCCCUUUGCUGUUUGCUGUUGUGUGACUAAAUACACAAUUCUGGCUUUGAAAGUUUCUUCUAGGCCUCUGUAAGUACUGAAUGAACUGACACUACCAUGAACCAUGUGUGGAAUCAGUAUUAUUAGCUUGGUGCAAAAAUCAUUGCAGUUUUGGACUGUGAAUUUUAAAUCAUUAUAUGCAUCAUACGUAAAUCAUUAUAAAUAAUAUAUGCAUCAUAUAUAAUUAUAAACCCAUUAUAAAUCACAUAUACAUCAUAUAUAAAUAAUUAUAAACACAUCUUUACUGCUCAAAGCAGGAACCGUUACAAUCAAUACAUUUUUGCCAAUGAGAAUUAAGUUUGUUUAUUCUGUAGUGUAAAAAUCUGUGCUUUGGGAUUUGAUGAACUCUUGGAAAGCAUUUUCUGCAUCCUGCUGGUUGUGGAAGUGUUUUCCCUGCAAGAAGUUGUCAAGGUCCUUGAAGAAGUGGUAGUUGGUUGGCAAGAGGUCAGGUCAAUAUGGUGGAUGAGGCAAAACGUCAUAGCCCGAUUUGUUCAAGUUUUGAGGUGCUAGUUGUGUGGUCGGGCAUUGUCUUGUAGAAGAAUUGGGUCCUUUCUGUUGACCAAUACCAACUUCAGGCAUUGCAGUUUUUGGUGCAUCUCAUUGAUUUGCUGAGCAGACUUCUCAGAUGUAAUGGUUUUGCUGCGAUUCAGAAAGCUGCAGUGGAUCAGACUGUCAAUACAGCACCUAACAGUGACCAUGACCUGUUUUUGGUGCAAGUUCAGCUUUGGGAAGUACUUGGGAGGUGCUUCUUGGUCCAACCACCAAGUUGGUCAUCACCAGUAUAAAAUCCACUUUUUGUCGCAUGGCACAAUCCACUCGAGAAGUGGUUCAUUGUUCUUGCAUAGAAUAAGAGAAGAUGAUGCUUCUAAACAGCUUUUUUUUUUUUUUAAUUUUUGGUCAGCUCAUGAGGCACCCACUUAUCGAGAUUUUUUCACCUUUCCAAUUUGCUUCAAGUGACAAACAACCAUAGAAUGGUCAACGUUGAGUUCAUUGGCAACUUCUCAUGUAUUUUUAAGAGAAUCAACUUUGAUGAUUGCUCUGCAUUGGUCAUUGUCAACUUGGCCAACCACUACACUCCUCAUCUUCGAGGCUCUCAUCUCCUUUGUGUAACUUCUUGAACCACCACUGCACUUUAUGUUCAUUAGCAGUUCCUGGGCCAAAUGCAUUGUUGAAGUUGUGAAUUGUCACCGCUGCUUCAUAACCCAUUUUGAACUCAAAUAAGAAAAUCGAACAGCAAAUUUCAACAAUGCAAAAACCACAAUUCCUUUUACACCAAUCUAAAACAUUAAAACUUCUGGCUAACUUUGAUACCCUGUCUGUUUGAUAAAUUAUGUACUGUGACUAUUUUAUAACCUUACUGAAAUGUGUACACUGGCAGGAUAAUCUAAAUAGUUAUUUAGAACUUGCACAACCAGGAAUUUGACCAUUUCUAUGAUACAUUUUCUUUCUCAGAAAAACAAACGAACAACUUUCAAUCCGUUUGGACUAGGUGAUUCUCCACAGGAAAUGUUAGCCAAUUUAAAUCUCCAAUGUUCUUACCACUUAAGCAGAUAAAGAUCCACCAUUGAGUGCAGAACAUCAGGAGUACAUUCGAAGUUGAACACUGGACCACAACUUCAUUUUAAAAUUCAUAUGUUGUUUUCACCGCUUUGGAUGCCUGCCUGCUACCAUGAUCUGUAAAACUAAGAUCCACAGAAACUUAUAGCUAGAACCAAAAAGUGCCGUUCAGAAGACAUUGUUCAGAAUACUAGUCCUGAAAACACUAACUAAAUUACUAUGUGGUUCUACAGGAAUGAAAAUUCUGUCAUUACUGAAUAACAAGUUUUUUUCGGGUGCCUGAAACUUAGAAUCAGAAUCAUAUCAUAGAAUGUCCUGAGUUGGAAAGGACCCACAAGGAUCAUUGAGUCCAAUUCCUGUCCCUGCUUAUGACAACCCCAAAAUUCACACCAUGUGUCUGAGGGCAUUGUUCAAUUGCUUUUUGAAUACUGUCAGGCUUGGGGCUGUGCCUACCUCCCUGGGGAGCCUUUUCCAGUGUUCCACCACCCUCUGAGUGAAGAAUGUUUUCUUAAUGUCCAACCUAAACCUCCCCUGGCACAUCUUCCUGCCAGUCUCUCGGGUUCUAAGAUUGGUCACCAGACAGGCAUGCCCUGAGCCGUGACAUAUAUUGUUGCUUUGUAGUCUAGGAUUCCUGUUGCUUUUAUGACCAGCAAACUCCCUAGUCAUGAGACUUUAUACUCCCCUGAUACUUUUUAGCAGCUUGACUCCAGCUCUUUUUCCAAUGAACUGAUAGCCAAGCCCUGUGCCUUUUUCAGACUACCAGCUCAAGGGCGAUAAAUCUGGAAGCCCUGGUUAUUACUAGAAGUGUCUUAUUUACCUGUAUGGCAGACUUUGGCUAGCAGUGCCUUGACAGUAAUAUUCUGUGAUGGUGAUGCAGGAAGCACAAGGGACUCUAGAUGUCCAAGCAGGCUUCUAAGAGUCAGCUGUUCUAAGAUUUGCUGGCAAGUUGCCAAAUAUAUAUAUUUGUGUUGAAAAGGUUCAGUUGGUUUGCUUGCCUUUUUUUUUUUUAAUCUGAUUUUUAUUCUUAAGGAUUUUUUUAAGGAUGACUGCUUCUGAAUGUGUGUCCUAUUUGUUACACAUACCCUAGUGAAAAAUCUAAAAAUAUCUUAGUUGCAAGAGUCUGGAAACCCAUGAUUUGCCUUACAAGUACUCCUGUUUCUUAGAGAGAAUUUAUUUGCAACAUUAAAAAAAGCGUUGGAAAAUCCACCCCCUUUUGUACUCUUUUUAGUAUUAAGAAGGUCAGAAUAAGGCUACUCAGGGACCUGCAGAAUUUUCAUGGGCCCAUUUUCCAUUACUGAGAGGUAUUAAGAAACAUCUUUUUGUUGUUUGCAGAGCAUCAGAACAGACUCUGACAAAUGCAAAAGAGAUGCCAACCUGAUUGAUAAGAAGAAAAUAAAAGAGAAAAUGAAGGUCUGAAAGGAGAAAUAAAUGAAGCACCAAUUUAUAGGCAUUUCUGCUGCUGCUGAAUGGUCCCAGUUGUCAGUACAGCUAGUGCUGAUCAGGUCAAAAUUCUGAUUUUCCUUCUGUCAACAUCAAGGUAUCUGGAGUAUUCUCCAGGUUUUGGGCAUCUCCCUUCAACUUUCCAUGGACUCUUUUGCCACCAGUCACUGCAGCAGAAGUGAACUUCAGUUAAAGCACACUUUUUACAUUUUCAGACUUCUUUUUUUUUUUUUUUUUUUUAAAUGUAAGUAAGGGGAUCAUCAAUGCUUACAGAGGAAAUUCUGGCCAGAGUAGUUACAGGCAGUGAAAACUAGGUAGGGUUCAUUCACUUCCACUAUAUUAUUUAGCAGAACAUAGUUGGUAUUGUUACUAAGUAAGGCUCAGUGACAUAGUUUAUUUUACUUUAUCAGUUUUGAAUUGACCCUAGGAUAAAUGCUGCUAUGACAGUAAAACCUGGUAUUUCUGAAGACAGCUGGUUUUGAUUAUAGUAAUUACUAUUGAAGGCAUUGUAGAACUUUUUCUUCAUGGUUUUACGUGGAAAGGUACUGAACGCAUGUCAGGUGCUUUUGCUAGUUGAAAGAGUGAUAAAUGCUGCCUGGAGCAGGCAUAGUUUAAAACGCUGGUGUCUCAGAGAAUCUGAAACAAGAAGUGAGCCAUAACUUUUAUUGUGAAUAUUUUCAGAAAAUGGCAGUGACUAAAUGUCAUGGUUCUAAAAAACAGCUUAGUCUUCCUGUUUAGUCAGUCAGCUCAUUGUUAAGUCAUUAACAUCAUUUGGGAUCCAGUCUCUGACUUCCAGAUAGGCUGUUGAGGCCUGUUAUUUUGAUAGCUGAUUUUCCUCCUCAUCAUUUUAUUUAUAUCACCAGCCACACGAUGGCAGCAAAUUAUUAAGUAACCCCAUUUGCCUCUUCUAGCAUCAAAAUAGCACAGUAACUAACCUCUUCAAGAUUUUACCCUAACCAGAGGAAAUCCAAAGACAAGCUGGAUCAAUCCUAGGUACAAAUAAUGAUGCUCAAGGAAUAAAACCAUAGCUCUGUGUGUGUUCAUCUGUGAAUAUUGCCUUGCUACCUUGUUAUGUAUAAAACACAUACUUGUACAUUAGAUGUCAGUGUGAUUUAGAAGUAUUAGCUCAAUGAAGAAAAGACAUGAAAUCACUUUACUUUAUAAACUCAUAUUUUGUUAUUAUUUACAUAAUCACCACUCUCAAAUGAGAAAGAAAUUCAGUACAGUUAUGUUAAUCCUGAUAAAACAUAGAUUAUACCAAAUUGUGAUCUCUGUGCUUAAAAUUUGAAAAAAAAAUGGAAUAGAGAUAUCUUACUGACAUUCUUAAGCCUGUGUACAUGAAGAAGUUUUACAUAAUAUAGCUGUAAUACAGAAAAAUAAAAAUACAUAAACCAGAUAUACAUAAAAGACCAUACCUGGAGAGAAGGAGGAGUGUAUUGUCAGAAAAUAAAGGGAAUAAUAGAGGAAUUUAGCCGAAGACUUUGUAUAUUUUUUAAUAAUUCUCUCAUUUUUCUAGUCAAAAGCUAUGUAUACAUAUACAUAUAUAUAUGUAUCUAUAUUUGUAUUUAUAUUCCUGUAGGCUUUAAGAAAGGGUCACAGAAAUUAAAAAUUAUAGCAGAGCUACACAUUUUCUCUGAAAUGUUAGAUUUCUGAAUAUAGAAUUUUUUAGUUCAUUCCAUGAAGAAUAUUUGGGUUGAAUCAAACAGCUCCAAUGUCGCAAAUAAAAAAUGUAUAACUGGUAAUUUCUGAUUGUAAUUUUAAUUCAGCUCACUUAUUAUUUUGUUAAUGACCUCUGCCAUUAAUAGUGCUGUGUCAGUAAAAUUGUACAAAUCAAAUUUUGUAGAGUGUAUCUAAAAUUUGAUGAAAAACCAAAUGGGGUGCCAACCAGAAAAACCUUGACAGGUUUGCAGAGUGGGCCCAUGUGAAUCUAAUGAACUUCAACAAGGCCAAGUGCAAAGUCCUGCACUUGGGUCAAGGCAAUCCCCAAGGUCUAUACAAACUGAGGGGUGGUGAAUGGAUAGAGAACAGUGCUGUGGAGGAGGACUUGGGGGUACAUACAGGUGGAUGAAAAAUUCAACAUGAGCCUGCAAUAUGCUCUUGCAAGCCAGAAAGCAAAUCACAUCCUGGGCUGCAUAAAAAGAAACUUGGCUAUCAGGACAAGAGAGGUCAUUCUUCCUCUCUACUGUUCUCACAAGACCUCACCUGGAGUACCAUGUGCAAGAAAGACAUGGACUUGUUGAGGAUGUGGACUCUCAAUACAAGAAAGACAUGGACUUGUUGAGGGUGGUGAGACACUGGAACAGGUUGCAAUAUAUAUAUCAUAAUAUAAAAUGUGUUAUAAUAUGAUGGAGUUGUAAUUAGAGACUACAUGAUGGAGAACAGUUCAGGAUUAAUGAGACCUUCCCUCUUAAAUGUAUGUAUUUCCUAAUUUAAUUUUAUUAAAUACAUCCUUAACAGACUCAAGUUUAUUCAGCUUCUAAGAUCAUAACAUUAGGCUUAGUGUGUCUUUUCCACAAAAACCUUAAUUACAAAGAUACUACUGAUGUCAGAAGGCUUUCACCAAGUGGACGCUACAAUCUUUUGGCAAAUUGUUACCCUCAGGUAACAAAAUUACGGAAUUUUAUAACUUAGUCUAUUUUGUUAAUUUCAUAGUAUUUUUAAUUAGCAAGAUUGUUUUCAAUUUAAAGAUUAAGGUUUGGUGGGUUUUUUUUUUGUCUUGCUCUGUUUCCCCUUAAUCAACAGAAGAUUCUGUUGUAGAUUUCAAUAGCAUGCCUCUCAAGUGCACAUGGUCUGUAGAGACUGGAACUACAAUUCUGUGUUUAGUAGAAAACCUGUAAGGUAAGAUGAUCGCAAUCUGAAUGAACUACUGAAAUUUGAAUCAGGUGCCACAGCUGUGAGCAUAGACAUGCUUGUGAGUUUUGUAGCCAAGUGGAGCUUCCCACAGUAUUUAGUGGCUGCUCAGUGUAAAUAUAUUCUCUUUUUCUUAGAUUUUAAAUUAGAUUUAAAUUUCAUAAUUUCAGUGUGCUUAUAGAAAUAUUUCUCAUUGUUAUGUCUAAAAAAAAAAUCUUUCUCUGUUUUUUACAACUUUUGUAGUGGAGAUUUUUGUCCAUGUUAGUUGCAUAGAUGAUUAGGGAAACCUGUGCUAACCUAUGAAAUUAGUAGGUUUCCAAUAGAAUUUGGGAGUUACAUCUCAAAACAAUAAACUGAAUUCUAAUUUGACAGUGUUGUGUGUCUGUACUGAAAUUUGAUGAAAUAACUGUUUAUCAAAGUUAACAGGUGUUACCAAAUGUACUGUUUAUUUCUUGUGUGUCAAACCAAAUAUACUACAGUGUUAUUACGUGUGUUAUGGUCAAUAUGCUUCUACAGAUUCUAAUGAUAGGAGUUUUCUCAUUUCAGUGUCUUUGUAACAUUUCUUAAUGUUCAAACCUAUGUGUAAUACACUUCUAAGAAUUUUAACUUAGUUGUCUGUAAACAUCAAAUUGUGAAACGGCUGUUCCAAAGUUAAUGGCAUAUCAUUUAAAACAUGUCUGAUUUCCAAACCUUUAUUUUGGGUUUCUCUUAUGUUUUUGAAAACUUCCUGUCAAAUGAAAAAUGGGAGAAACAUUUUUUCAGAAAUAUCUCAGUACAGCUGGAUUAUGACUGGACUCCACGACAUGGAGGUCUAAGCAGACCUAUCUUGUCUUGGCAGACCUGCUUGGAGGCUUUUUAUCUUGAAAGCCAUAAAGUUAAUAGGAAAAGUAUAGAUCCGUAGUUAAAUAAGUGUUCUUGUCUGUUUUAUGGAAUAGUUCAAAAGAUGGCUGAAGCUUCAAAUGUCCUGAUAAAAAUAUUAAAAAAUACCUUUUUUUUUUUUUUUUUUUUUAAUCUGUAAUCAACUGAUAAUAAAUAUUUUGGAACAAAGUUCAGGUAUCUAAAUUGAUGGGGAGCUAAUACAUACAUGUUGUUUUACAAAUUAAUGCAGUGAGAAUUUUGAAUAUGCACUUUUAUUCAAAACCAUUCAUCUAUUUCUUGUAAUAAUAAACUCUACAAAACCCUUUCUUAACAUUCUUUUGAAGAAGGUAAAGGAAAAUGUUCUUACUCAUUCUAAGUCCAAUCUAUUUUAAAUUAUACCUCUUCACUUUUCCUUUUUUUGUGAUGGGACAGGAAAAGCAAUUAACGUUUCAAGUGAUCUCUAAGGGAUUUUUAAGAUUACUUGCUUGUAAGUUUUAAUUUGCUGUGAAUUACAGUAAAUUGCACUUACUGUCUUCAUCAUUCUCAAAGAUUAAACCAAUGCUACCUCUGACUAAUUUUGACUCAUCUGUAACUUACAUUUUCUUUCCAAAGUGGUUUCUGAAUGUUGUUUGAAAAAUCAGUCAUAUUUCUUGGUAAUUGGUUAAGGAAAAUAUUAAAAGAUAAGAAACAAAUUGGUAGGCUUGGUGAUUGUAAUAUUUUUAUGGGUAUUCUCAGUAAACAUGCUACAUAUGUGUGAAAGUUGCAAAGAGUGUCAGCUAAAGGGCCUGAUGCUUCUGGAAAGGAGAAAAAAAUCAAACAUUUAUUUUCCUGCUAUGGCAACAGCUAUUCACUGUCAGCAGGAACUUUCUUCAUGCAGUGUUUAUCGUAGCAAAAUGCAGAGGGCUUGGAUAUUUAUUUAUUUAUUUAUUUAUUUAUUUAUUUAUUUAUUUAGUGAGAUUUGACACAAUGGAUUAAAUGUAAUGGUUGUGAACUUUCCGUGAGCAAGCUGGCUGUGAUGAAACAUUUUAUGUGAAUCUUCCAUUUAGCUUCUCAUUUUUUAUAAUGACUCAGAGGAAGUAGCUGAUUUAGACUUCGAAUAGUAGUCACUCACUUUACAUAUCACCUCAUUGAAAGACUGGGCACACAAACACAGGAGUUGAUAACAAGUUUUCAGUAGCUUUAGGGAAAAGUUAACCUUUUGCCCUUUUAAGCAGAUUGUAUUUUUUCUUAAUAGUAAACUACCUUCCGUACUUUAGUACCUUGAGCUCUAAGAAAUAUGGAUCAUAUCAAAAUGGCAUUUUAGGCUAUUUCAUCUAGUGAGCAGCCUCAUAGGAUGGUUUGAUAAUUGCUGUAUGCAAAAAAAAUUAAAUGCAAUGUAUAAAAAUAUUAUGUUGCGAAUAAUGUUGCAUUUAAGCUGUUUACUUUAAAUGCUCUUGUUUAGAGAAUUACAAAUGCAAUACUUGCACUGAAGAUGGGGAAAGAGAGGGAAGUAAUAUCAUCCAGGAAAUAUCCCAGAAUUUGUUUAACUCAACAGGAUGGAAAUUUCAGAACAAUCAUGAAGGAAUGUGGAAAAAAGAAAAAAAAAGCUCUACAGUAUCACCAAUGGUAAAUCGCUAUGUAUAUGGUGAGCAAGUUUAUUUCAUUUAAAAUAUCUGAACAUGUGUAGAGAAAAUUUUGAAAAAAACAGCUAUAUUUGGAAAAAAAUGCUAUCUUUGGCAUUUUUGUGAUGCAUCUGGCAUUCAGCACCACGUGGAGGACAGGGAAUAAUGAAAUGCUAAGAAAGAUCUGUGCUGGGAGAAGUUAACAGUGGUAAGUGUCAGGCACUGGCUUGUAAUGGCAUAAGUUUGUAAAUGGUGAACCUGAAGGAAGAGUUUUGCAAACAUUUUUGUUUCAUAAUUUUGUUAAUGACCUUGGCAUUUAAAUAUAGAGACAUCUUGAUUAAACUAGUUUUCAGUAUAAGGAGCUAAUUUGAAUGACAUUGAGAAUGGAUAUAAAAGAAACGGGUUAAGACUGGAUAUGAUAAAACCAUUUUCUUAGAGGCUUAGUAAGAAUAACUGCUGGAGGCUUAGUGUCAAAAGCCUGUAUAUUUAGCACACACUGAGUGUGAGGAAGCCAUGAAAAAGUGAUUUAGAGUUUACUGUAUACUUCUAAUAGAAAUUAGAAAGACAGUAAUGCCAUCAUUCAAGGCUGUGCAAAAGCUGUGUGAAACUUAAAUAACUUAUAGAAAAUGCCUUCCAUGUAAAAAAGUGAUAUGGGUGUACUUAUUAGAAUGAUUAAGGGAAUGGAGAGACAAUUGUAAAAGAAUGGAGCAGAAGUUGUCUCGUUUGGUCUGACAAAGCUGAGGCAAAGAAGAGAGGAUAUAUUUGAGAGAAUUAGAAAAAACCUUAGUGGGGCGUGCACCAUCAGAGAAUGAAAGAUAUUUAAGCUAAAGGAUAGUGUUAGCACAAAAAGAGAUAUGCAGACUGGCUAGUAAUGCAUUUAUCUCAAAAAAAAAAAAGAAAAAAAAAAGAAAAAUAAAAA